AUGAUCAAAACAUGGCUUGGUUUACAUGAUGUUCAUCCUACGGACUGCGGAGGCAUGGUUUCCGUCAAGGAGUGGUGGCGCAGCAACACUUAAGGGAGGUCGCAGUCUCGAAGGCCGCUUGUUUCCCUUAUUCCUAUCUCUUGGGAAAUCUGGAAUCAGCGAAAUGCUCAGGUGUUCCGCAACAAUGCGACUCCGGUCGUUGUGCUUGUGACACAUCAAAGCGGAGGCAUCAUCGGGGUGCCUUGCCGGGCAAAAUAUUUGUGUAAUAUAAUGCCGCGAGAGUGA
rnacentral:rRNA from 1 species